rnacentral:lncRNA from 1 species
CAGAUCUGGCAAGCUGUAAAUAUAAGUCUGUUACAUCUCUUUCUCUUUCUUCAUCAGGUUACUGCAGUGUUGUCCUGGGAAUCAGCUUAGUGAAUUCUCAUUUAACCCAACACAUCCAUGAGGUACCUCAGCAAGACGGGAACAUUUCCUGUGGCUAUUGCAUCCGCUCAAUAUUCUUCAGAGUGAACAUCACAGCCCUUAACUGUUGAAACAGACUUUUCUUUCACGGCAGCAAGCCCGCCUGGAUAAGAUGAGAGGGACACCAUAAAUAUUACAUAGGGUCUGAGGCAUUUACUGCAAAUUCAACAGGAACUUUUCCAGCUUCCCACUGGGAGAGAUUUCUUGGGAAUAGAGAACUCUCUGGAGCCUGUAAUAACUUCUUAAGCGAUAGCGGGAUUUUUGACAUUCCGUAUUACACAACAGGAAGCAGAAUCUUAAUAGAAAUACUGCACACAGUUGCCUUUAAUAGAAAACAGUCUAUGCAGCGCUGGAGGAAUAUUUAAAAUAUUCUUUUAUUUUUAAAUAAAUUGAUUUGAGAAUGUUUUUAAUACACUGAAGGCUUUUGCCCCUCUGCUCCUCUAUGAGGAGCUGUCAUGGGGCCUCCCCUCAGCCUCCUCUUCUCAGGGCCGAAUAAAACCAAAGGUUCUCAGCUGCUCCUCAAGUAUGUUUUUCCCAACUUUCAACUGAGAGGAAUUCCUUCCAACUGAUGUUGCUUUUUAAUGCAAACCAGAGGGUAGAUGGGCUCGAAUCAAACCCAGUUUUAAGGUAAUUUGUGGCUGCUUUUUGGGAUCUGAGUGAAGAACAGCGCUUGGACUUCUUCCCUGCAAGCAAACAGCUGGAUCCGAGGCUGAAGGCACCAGGGAGAGGACAGAAAAGCUCCCUCAUGCUGUAAGGGAAAUGAAGUGCUAUGUGGAGUGAGGGGUCGUUUCCAGAAGACAACUGGGCGAGCACCAGGCUGGCACUGUUCUUUGUCCACCCCUGCUGCCCACGGAAGUGAGCGGACCUACAUGGGCUUGCAAAGAAACACCUUCUGCUCCAGAAUCCACUGGCCCUAUAAUAUUAGCAGAGAUUGCUCAUGGCUCUUCCUGGGUUUGUCAAGCUGUCUGCAGUCAGGGCUAAAAGGAACCUGAAGCAGAACAGGGUCAUAAUCACAGCAGAGCUCUGUGGGAUAACAAGGUAAGGUGUUGGACUUGGCCUGUUUUACUUCAGGUUUACUCUGUGAUUCUCUUAGCUGCUGGCUCAUCAUACUUGUAGCCCAUAU